rnacentral:rRNA from 1 species
GACAGAGGCCUCAAGCGUUAGGCGGAAUCACUGGGCUUAAAGCGUGUGUAGGCGGAUCGUUAAGUGCCUUGUGAAAUCCCACGGCUCAACCGUGGAACUGCUGGGCAUACUGGCGGUCUUGGGCCAUUCAGGGGCGACUGGAACAAGCGGUGGAGCGGUGAAAUGCGUAGAUAUCGCUUGGAACGCCGAAGGUAAAAACAGGUCGCUGGGGAUGUGCCGACGCUGAGACACGAAAGCCAGGGGAGCGAACGGG